rnacentral:rRNA from 1 species
GGGGGGUGACGCAGGAAGGUAGUCCAGCCCGGGCGGUGGUUGUCCCGGGGUAAGGGUGUAGGACGCGCGGUAGGUAAAUCCGUCGCGCAUGAAGUCUGAGACCUGAUGCCGAGCCGAUUGUGGUGAAGUGGAUGAUCCUAUGCUGUCGAGAAAAGCCUCUAGCGAGUUUCAUGGCGGCCCGUACCCUAAACCGACUCAGGUGGUCAGGUAGAGAAUACCGAGGCGUUCGGGUGAACUAUGGUUAUGGAACUCGGCAAAAUGCCCCCGUAACUUCGGGAGAAGGGGGGCCAUUUCUGGUGAUCGGAUUUACUCCGUGAGCUGGGGGUGGCCGCAGAGACCAGCGAGAAGCGACUGUUUACUAAAAACACAGGUCCGUGCGAAGCCGUAAGGCGAUGUAUACGGACUGACGCCUCCCCGGUGCUGGAACGUUAAGGGGACCGGUUAGUCACGAUUCGUCGUGGCGAAGCUGAGAACUUAAGCGCCAGUAAACGGCGGUGGUAACUAUAACCAUCCUAAGGUAGCGAAAUUCCUUGUCGGGUAAGUUCCGACCUGCACGAAUGGCGUAACGACUUCUCGACUGUCUCAACCAUAGGCCCGGUGAAAUUGCACUACGAGUAAAGAUGCUCGUUUCGCGCAGCAGGACGGAAAGACCCCGGGACCUUUACUAUAGCUUGAUAUUGGUGUUCGGUUCGGCUUGUGUAGGAUAGGUGGGAGACUUUGAAGUCACGGCGCCAGCCGUGGUGGAGUCGUCGUUGAAAUACCACUCUGGUCGUGCUGGAUGUCUAACCUCGGUCCGUGAUCCGGAUCAGGGACAGUGUCUGGUGGGUAGUUUAACUGGGGCGGUUGCCUCCUAAAGAGUAACGGAGGCGCCCAAAGGUUCCCUCAGCCUGGUUGGCAAUCAGGUGUUGAGUGUAAGUGCACAAGGGAGCUUGACUGUGAGACUGACGGGUCGAGCAGGUACGAAAGUGGGGACUAGUGAUCCGGCGGUGGCUUGUGGAAGCGCCGUCGCUCAACGGAUAAAAGGUACCCCGGGGAUAACAGGCUGAUCUUCCCCAAGAGUCCAUAUCGACGGGAUGGUUUGGCACCUCGAUGUCGGCUCGUCGCAUCCUGGGGCUGGAGUCGGUCCCAAGGGUUGGGCUGUUCGCCCAUUAAAGCGGUACGCGAGCUGGGUUUAGAACGUCGUGAGACAGUUCGGUCCCUAUCCGCUGCGCGCGCAGGAGUCUUGAGAAGGGCUGUCCCUACUACGAGAGGACCGGGACGGACGAACCUCUGGUGUGCCAGUUGUCCUGCCAAGGGCAUGGCUGGUUGGCUACGUUCGGGAGGGAUAACCGCUGAAAGCAUCUAAGCGGGAAGCCUGCUUCGAGAUGAGGACUCCCACCCACUUGAUGGGGUAAGGCUCCCAGUAGACGACUGGGUUGAUAGGCCGGAUGUGGAAGCCUCGUGAGGGGUGGAGCUGACCGGUACUAAUAGGCCGAGGGCUUCU